GUAGGGAGCAAGCGUUAUCCGGAUUUAUUGGGUGUAAAGGGUGCGUAGACGGGAAUGCAAGUUGGUUGUGAAAUCCCUCGGCUUAACUGAGGAACUGCAACCAAAACUACAUUUCUUGAGUGCUGGAGAGGAAAGUGGAAUUCCUAGUGUAGCGGUGAAAUGCGUAGAUAUUAGGAGGAACACCAGUGGCGAAGGCGACUUUCUGGACAGUAACUGACGUUGAGGCACGAAAGUGUGGGGAGCAAA
rnacentral:rRNA from 1 species